rnacentral:rRNA from 1 species
AUACGUAGGGUGCGAGCGUUGUUCGGAAUUACUGGGCGUAAAGGGUGUGUAGGCGGACUGUUAAGCUAGAGGUGAAAUCCCAGGGCUCAACCCUGGAGGUGCUUCUGGAACUGGCAGACUAGAGAGGGUCAGAGGUCAGUGGAAUUCCUGGUGGAGAGGUGAAAUUCGUUGCUAUCAGGAGGAACACCGGCGGCGAAAGCGGCUGGCUGGGGCCACUCUGACGCUGAGGCACGAAAGCGUGGGGAGCAAACGGGAUUAGAAACCCCGGUAGUCC